rnacentral:lncRNA from 1 species
AGCCGGGACUGAACAGCUGCCAGUGCGCAGCCUGGGUGGGGGCUCAGGACAAGGGGCUCUUAUGGAGCCCCUCGAGACCCCCAGGAGGUGGACACUGCCCCCAGCUCUUGGUGGAGCCCUUGGGCUGCAACAGCAGGAACUGAACCCCAGGGGCUUUGGGGUUAAGAGAAGAAUGUCUGGACGUUAGCGGCAAAAGCAGGCGGGUGGGGCAGUGAGCACAAGCGGGGGUGCCCCUGAUACUGGCUACCCCUCCACAUCUAUCUCUGUCCGGGUCUGCCUCUGUCCUCGGCACACGGCACGCGCUGCUCCGGGGGCGGCCGCGCCACAGGUGAGCGGAACACGGUUCGAGGAAGGUGGGCCGGGCACAGGGCGGCCCGUGGUUGCAGGUACCAGAGCUUGCUGGAGCUGGCUGGGCUUUGAGGAUCAAUCACCUGGUUCUGCAGAUGUAGAAGUAUGUAAAGUAAUCAGCACUUUCACCAGGGCAGGACUCGGAUCCAGGCCAGCAGCUGCCCAGCCCAAGGCUCCUUGCACCACCGUGUGAGCCACAUACUUUCCGGAUAGGAGAAGGUCCAGAAGGUGAAGUCUGCGCCCAGGACCUGCAGAGCCCCC